rnacentral:tRNA from 1 species
GUUGCCGUAGCUUAAUAACACACAAAGCCCGGCCCUGAAGUUGCCGUGAUGGGAUGCCCUAUUCCCGGGAACA